AAUCCAUGAUGAGGGCAUUGAGUUUGGUAGCCUUUGAAUCUCUCCCAGGCUUCACUGAAUCCUUCCAAGCCUUUCUGUUGAAAGCUGGAGAUCUCAUUUCUCAGCUU
rnacentral:snoRNA from 1 species